UUGGUGGUGGGGCCGGCGGUUGGGUUGGCGGUUGGGUUGAUGGAGGCGGUUGGGUUGGUGGAGGCAGUUGGGUUGGUGGAGGCAGUUGGGUUGGAAGUUCUUCAUUGGUCGGUGGCACUACCGGGAGUGGUUGAGGUGGUGGAAGUUCGUCGGUCGGUGGCACUACCGGGAGUGGUUGAGGUGGUGGAGGUGGUGGAAGUUCGUCGGUCGGUGGCACUACCGGGAGUGGUUGAGGUGGUGGUGGUGGAAGUUCGUCGGUCGGUGGCACUACCGGAAGUGGUUGAGGUGGUGGUGGUGGUGGAAGUUCGUCGGUCGGUGGCACUACCGGAAGUGGUUGAGGUGGUGGUGGUGGUGGAAGUUCGUCGGUCAGUGGCACUACCGGGAGUGGUUGAGGUGGUGGAGGUGGUGGAAGUUCGUCGGUCGGUGGGACGACGGGAAGUGGUUGCGUUGGUGGAAGUUCUUCAUCGAUCAGUGGGGCGACCGGGAGUGGUGGAGGAGGUGGUUGGGUUGGUGGAAGUUCUUCAUCGUCCGCCAUCCUGGAGGUUCAGUAGAGUU